rnacentral:rRNA from 1 species
GUCCACGCAGUAAACGAUGGAUACUCGUUGUCGGGCAGGUUUCUGUUCGGUGACCAAGCUAACGCAUUAAGUAUCCCGCCUGGGGAGUACGAUCGCAAGGUUGAAACUCAAAGGAAUUGACGGGGGCCCGCACAAGCGGUGGAGCAUGUGGUUUAAUUCGAUGCAACGCGAAGAACCUUACCUGGGCUUAAACUGCAGGGGAAUGAUCCAGAGAUGGUGAAGUCCUUCGGGACUCCUGUAGAG